rnacentral:rRNA from 1 species
AGAGUUUGAUCAUGGCUCAGAUUGAACGCUGGCGGCAUGCUUUACACAUGCAAGUCGAGCGGCAGCGCGGGGGCAACCCUGGCGGCGAGCGGCGAACGGGUGAGUAAUGCAUCGGAACGUGUCCCGUAGUGGGGGAUAACCCGGCGAAAGCCGGACUAAUACCGCAUAUGCUCUACGGAGGAAAGCGGGGGAUUCGCAAGAACCUCGCGCUAUGGGAGCGGCCGAUGUCCGAUUAGCUUGUUGGUGGGGUAAAGGCUUACCAAGGCGACGAUCGGUAGCUGGUCUGAGAGGAUGAUCAGCCACACUGGGACUGAGACACGGCCCAGACUCCUACGGGAGGCAGCAGUGGGGAAUUUUGGACAAUGGGGGCAACCCUGAUCCAGCCAUGCCGCGUGCGGGAAGAAGGCCUUCGGGUUGUAAACCGCUUUUGUCCGGAAAGAAAAGACGCCUCCUAAUACGGGGCGUUCUUGACGGUACCGGAAGAAUAAGCACCGGCUAACUACGUGCCAGCAGCCGCGGUA